UUAUCUUUCUUGGAAGUUCAG
rnacentral:piRNA from 1 species